UACGUAGGGUGCAAGCGUUGUCCGGAAUUAUUGGGCGUAAAGAGCUCGUAGGCGGUCUGUCGCGUCGGAUGUGAAAAUCCAGGGCUCAACCCUGGACCUGCAUUCGAUACGGGCAGACUAGAGUUCGGUAGGGGAGACUGGAAUUCCUGGUGUAGCGGUGAAAUGCGCAGAUAUCAGGAGGAACACCGGUGGCGAAGGCGGGUCUCUGG
rnacentral:rRNA from 1 species